rnacentral:rRNA from 1 species
UACAGAGGUCUCAACCGUUGUUCGGAUUCAUUGGGCGUAAAGGGUGCGUAGGCGGUCGCGCAAGUCGGAUGUGAAAUCUCAGGGCUCAACCCUGAAACUGCAUUCGAUACUGCCGUGCUUGAGGACUGGAGAGGAGACUGGAAUUCAUGGUGUAGCAGUGAAAUGCGUAGAGAUCAUGAGGAAGACCAGUGGCGAAGGCGGGUCUCUGGACAGUUCCUGACACUGAGGCACGAAGGCCAGGGGAGCAAACGGG